rnacentral:rRNA from 1 species
AGUACCCGGAGGAAAAGAAAUCAACCGAGAUUCCCUAAGUAGCGGCGAGCGAAAGGGGAGUAGCCCUUAAGUUUCUUAUGGUUUAGUGGAACGCUCUGGAAAGUGCGGCCAUAGUGGGUGAUAGCCCCGUACACGAAAAGCCAUUUGAGAUGAAAUCGAGUAGGUCGGGACACGUGAUAUCCUGAUUGAAUAUGGGGGGACCAUCCUCCAAGGCUAAAUACUCCUGCCAGACCGAUAGUGAACCAGUACCGUGAGGGAAAGGCGAAAAGAACCCCGGUGAGGGGAGUGAAAUAGAUCCUGAAACCGCGUACGUACAAGCAGUAGGAGCCUCUUCGUGGGGUGACUGCGUACCUUUUGUAUAAUGGGUCAGCGAGUUAUUGUCAGUAGCAAGGUUAACCGUUUAGGGGAGCCGUAGGGAAACCGAGUCUUAAUAGGGCGAAUUAGUUGCUGGCAUUAGACCCGAAACCCGGUGAUCUAUCCAUGGCCAGGUUGAAGAUGCCGUAACAGGCAUUGGAGGACCGAACCCACAAAUUUUGAAAAAUUUGGGGAUGAGCUGUGGAUCGGAGUGAAAGGCUAAUCAAGCUCGGAGAUAGCUGGUUCUCC